rnacentral:rRNA from 1 species
UGGGGAAUAUUGGGCAAUGGGCGAAAGCCUGACCCAGCAACGCCGCGUGAGGGAAGAAGGUUUUCGGAUUGUAAACCUCUGUCCUUGGGGACGAAGAAAGUGACGGUACCCAAGGAGGAAGCCCCGGCUACCUACGUGCCAGCAGCCGCGUUAAUACGUAGGGGCCGAGCGUUUUCCGGAAUUACUGGGCGUAAAGGGUGCGUAGGCGGUUUCGUAAGUCAGAUGUGAAAUCCCCGGGCUGAACUCGGGUGGUGCAUUUGAAACUGGGAGGCUAGAGUGCAGGAGAGGGGAGCGGAAUUCCUAGUGUAGCGGUGAAAUGCGUAGAUAUUAGGAGGAACACCAGUGGCGAAGGCGGCUUUCUGGACUGUAACUGACGCUGAGGCACGAAAGCGUGGGGAGCAAACA